GGGGAUGAUCGGUUUCGACAGCGAACGUCGAAGCAGGGGAAGCGAGCCGAGGAACGCGGCAAUGAUCUCGUUAACCAUGUGCCGCAAAAAAAUAAUCGCCAACACCAAGCGCGAUUCCUUCGCCCUCGCUGCCUGAGCAGCGACCUGCGAAGUGUCAGCCCGGGGUAGUUUCCGCCCCGGUUCCUGGCAUCAGCUAAGGAAACUCACCGCGUAGGUCCGGUCACGGGACCUACCGGGACAUCGAACAGUGACUGGGCCCGUCGGAGACUUGUCCGCGUGAUCUCCGGGGCCGAGAAAAUCGCAGCGGACUGCGCUCGGAGAAGCCCUGUUUCCACUUCGUUGGACGCGGGUUCGAUUCCCGCCAUCUCCACGA
rnacentral:tmRNA from 1 species